CCCUUAGAUGUUCUGGGCCGCACGCGCGCUACACUGAUGCAUUCAACGAGUUUCUUCCUGGUCCGAGAGGAAUGGGUAACCUUUUGAAAGUGCAUCGUGAUAGGGAUAGACUAUUGCAAUUAUUGGUCUUCAACGAGGAAUUCCUAGUAGACGUAGUUCAUCAGACUGCAUCGAUUACGUCCCUGCCCCUUGUACACACCGCCCGUCGCUCCUACCGAUUGAAUGCUCAGGUGAGCCAUUCGGACUUUCAUCAUGCUGGUUUCCAGUUUUGAUGAAGGAAAGUCUUGCGAACCUUAUCAUUUAGAGGAAGGAGAAGUCGUAACA
rnacentral:rRNA from 1 species